rnacentral:rRNA from 1 species
GUAGUCUGCAACUCGACUACAUGAAGCUGGAAUCGCUAGUAAUCGCGAAUCAGAAUGUCGCGGUGAAUACGUUCCCGGGUCUUGUACACACCGCCCGUCACACCAUGGGAGUCAGUAACGCCCGAAGUCAGUGACCGAACCUGAGAGGGAAGGAGCUGCCGAAGGCGGACGAUAACUGGGGUGAAGUCGUAACAAGGUACC